rnacentral:rRNA from 1 species
GGGAAUUUUCCGCAAUGGGCGAAAGCCUGACGGAGCAACGCCGCGUGAGGGAGGAAGGUCUUUGGAUUGUAAACCUCUUUUCUCAAGGAAGAAGUUCUGACGGUACUUGAGGAAUCAGCCUCGGCUAACUCCGUGCCAGCAGCCGCGGUAAUACGGGGGAGGCAAGCGUUAUCCGGAAUUAUUGGGCGUAAAGCGUCCGCAGGUGGUCAGCCAAGUCUGCUGUCAAAUCAGGUUGCUUAACGACCUAAAGGCGGUGGAAACUGGCAGACUAGAGAGCAGUAGGGGUAGCAGGAAUUCCCAGUGUAGCGGUGAAAUGCGUAGAGAUUGGGAAGAACAUCGGUGGCGAAAGCGUGCUACUGGGCUGUAUCUGACACUCAGGGACGAAAGCUAGGGGAGCGAAAGGGAUUAGAUACCCCUGUAGUC